rnacentral:rRNA from 1 species
UACGUAGGGACCAAGCGUUGUUCGGAUUUACUGGGCGUAAAGGGCGCGUAGGCGGCGUGACAAGUCAAUUGUGAAAUCUCCGAGCUUAACUCGGAACGGUCAAUUGAUACUGUUGUGCUAGAGUGCAGAAGGGGCAAUCGGAAUUCUUGGUGUAGCGGUGAAAUGCGUAGAUAUCAAGAGGAACACCUGAGGUGAAGACGGGUUGCUGGGCUGACACUGACGCUGAGGCGCGAAAGCUAGGGUAGCAAACGGG